rnacentral:rRNA from 1 species
GAUGAACGCUAGCGGCAGGCUUAACACAUGCAAGUCGAGGGGCAGCAUGACACGGAGAUUCGUCGAAGUGUUGAUGGCGACCGGCGCAAGGGUGCGUAACGCGUGAGCAACUUGCCCGUUUCUGGGGGAAUAACCGGUGGAAACGCCGACUAAUACCCCAUAGUAUAACGAAGAGGCAUCUUUUGUUAUUAAAGAAUUUCGGAAACGGAUAGGCUCGCGUGACAUUAGCUAGAUGGCGGGGUAACGGCCCACCAUGGCGACGAUGUCUAGGGGUUCUGAGAGGAAGGUCCCCCACACUGGAACUGAGACACGGUCCAGACUCCUACGGGAGGCAGCAGUGAGGAAUAUUGGUCAAUGGCCGGAAGGCUGAACCAGCCAAGUAGCGUGAAGGAUGAAGGUUCUAUGGAUUGUAAACUUCUUUUAUAUAGGAAUAAAACGUCCCACGUGUGGGAGCUUGUAUGUACUAUAUGAAUAAGCAUCGGCUAACUCCGUGCCAGCAG